rnacentral:rRNA from 1 species
AGCGAACGUUAGCGGCGGGCCUAACACAUGCAAGUCGAGCGAGAAAGGCGCAAGCUGAGUAAAGCGGCGGACGGGUGAGUAACACGUAGGUAAUCUUCCUUCGAGCGGGGGACAACAGAGCGAAAGCUUUGCUAAUACCGCAUACGUUCCCAGGGACUCUGGUCCUUGGGAGGAAAGCUAGGUAGCAAUAUCCGGCACUCGAUGAGGAGCCUGCGUCGCAUCAGCUAGUUGGUGGGGUAAUGGCCUACCAAGGCGAAGACGCGUAGCUGGUCUGAGAGGAUGAUCAGCCACACUGGGACUGAGACACGGCCCAGACUCCUACGGGAGGCUG